GGUCAAGUGAAGAAGCGCAUACGGUGGAUGCCUUGGCAGUCAGAGGCGAUGAAAGACGUGGUAGCCUGCGAAAAGCUUCGGGGAGUCGGCAAACAGACUGUGAUCCGGAGAUGUCUGAAUGGGGGAACCCAGCCAUCAUAAGAUGGUUAUCUUGUACUGAAUACAUAGGUGCAAGAGGCGAACCAGGGGAACUGAAACAUCUAAGUACCCUGAGGAAAAGAAAUCAACCGAGAUUCCCUUAGUAGUGGCGAGCGAACGGGGACCAGCCCUUAAGUUGUAUUGAGAUUAGCGGAACGUUCUGGAAAGGACGGCCAUAGUGGGUGAUAGCCCUGUACGCGAAAAUCCCUUUGCAAUGAAAUCGAGUAGGACGGGGCACGAGAAACCUUGUCUGAAUAUGGGGGGACCAUCCUCCAAGGCUAAAUACUACUGACUGACCGAUAGUGAACCAGUACCGUGAGGGAAAGGCGAAAAGAACCGCGGAGAGCGGAGUGAAAUAGAUCCUGAAACCGUAUGCGUACAAGCAGUGGGAGCCCACUUUGUUGGGUGACUGCGUACCUUUUGUAUAAUGGGUCAGCGACUUAUUUUCAGUGGCGAGCUUAACCGAAUAGGGGAGGCGUAGCGAAAGCGAGUCUUAAUAGGGCGUCUAGUCGCUGGGAAUAGACCCGAAACCGGGCGAUCUAUCCAUGGGCAGGUUGAAGGUUGGGUAACACUAACUGGAGGACCGAACCGACUACCGUUGAAAAGUUAGCGGAUGACCUGUGGAUCGGAGUGAAAGGCUAAUCAAGCUCGGAGAUAGCUGGUUCUCCUCGAAAGCUAUUUAGGUAGCGCCUCAUGUAUCACUGUAGGGGGUAGAGCACUGUUUCGGCUAGGGGGUCAUCCCGACUUACCAAACCGAUGCAAACUCCGAAUACCUACAAGUGCCGAGCAUGGGAGACACACGGCGGGUGCUAACGUCCGUCGUGAAAAGGGAAACAACCCAGACCGUCAGCUAAGGUCCCAAAGUCAUGGUUAAGUGGGAAACGAUGUGGGAAGGCUUAGACAGCUAGGAGGUUGGCUUAGAAGCAGCCACCCUUUAAAGAAAGCGUAAUAGCUCACUAGUCGAGUCGGCCUGCGCGGAAGAUGUAACGGGGCUCAAACCAUGCACCGAAGCUACGGGUAUCAUCUUUUGAUGAUGCGGUAGAGGAGCGUUCUGUAAGCCUGUGAAGGUGAGUUGAGAAGCUUGCUGGAGGUAUCAGAAGUGCGAAUGCUGACAUGAGUAACGACAAUGGGUGUGAAAAACACCCACGCCGAAAGACCAAGGUUUCCUGCGCAACGUUAAUCGACGCAGGGUUAGUCGGUCCCUAAGGCGAGGCUGAAAAGCGUAGUCGAUGGAAAACAGGUUAAUAUUCCUGUACUUCUGGUUAUUGCGAUGGAGGGACGGAGAAGGCUAGGCCAGCCUGGCGUUGGUUGUCCAGGUUUAAGGUGGUAGGCUGAGAUCUUAGGUAAAUCCGGGAUCUUAAGGCCGAGAGCUGAUGACGAGUGUUCUUUAGAACACGAAGUGGUUGAUGCCAUGCUUCCAAGAAAAGCUUCUAAGCUUCAGGUAACCAGGAACCGUACCCCAAACCGACACAGGUGGUUGGGUAGAGAAUACCAAGGCGCUUGAGAGAACUCGGGUGAAGGAACUAGGCAAAAUGGCACCGUAACUUCGGGAGAAGGUGCGCCGGUGAGGGUGAAGCAUUUACUGCGUAAGCCCACGCCGGUCGAAGAUACCAGGCCGCUGCGACUGUUUAUUAAAAACACAGCACUCUGCAAACACGAAAGUGGACGUAUAGGGUGUGACGCCUGCCCGGUGCCGGAAGGUUAAUUGAUGGGGUUAGCGCAAGCGAAGCUCUUGAUCGAAGCCCCGGUAAACGGCGGCCGUAACUAUAACGGUCCUAAGGUAGCGAAAUUCCUUGUCGGGUAAGUUCCGACCUGCACGAAUGGCGUAACGAUGGCGGCGCUGUCUCCACCCGAGACUCAGUGAAAUUGAAAUCGCUGUGAAGAUGCAGUGUAUCCGCGGCUAGACGGAAAGACCCCGUGAACCUUUACUAUAGCUUUGCACUGGACUUUGAAUUUGCUUGUGUAGGAUAGGUGGGAGGCUUUGAAGCGUGGACGCCAGUCUGCGUGGAGCCAACCUUGAAAUACCACCCUGGCAACUUUGAGGUUCUAACUCAGGUCCGUUAUCCGGAUCGAGGACAGUGUAUGGUGGGUAGUUUGACUGGGGCGGUCUCCUCCUAAAGAGUAACGGAGGAGUACGAAGGUGCGCUCAGACCGGUCGGAAAUCGGUCGUAGAGUAUAAAGGCAAAAGCGCGCUUGACUGCGAGACAGACACGUCGAGCAGGUACGAAAGUAGGUCUUAGUGAUCCGGUGGUUCUGUAUGGAAGGGCCAUCGCUCAACGGAUAAAAGGUACUCCGGGGAUAACAGGCUGAUACCGCCCAAGAGUUCAUAUCGACGGCGGUGUUUGGCACCUCGAUGUCGGCUCAUCACAUCCUGGGGCUGAAGCCGGUCCCAAGGGUAUGGCUGUUCGCCAUUUAAAGUGGUACGCGAGCUGGGUUUAGAACGUCGUGAGACAGUUCGGUCCCUAUCUGCCGUGGACGUUUGAGAUUUGAGAGGGGCUGCUCCUAGUACGAGAGGACCGGAGUGGACGAACCUCUGGUGUUCCGGUUGUCACGCCAGUGGCAUUGCCGGGUAGCUAUGUUCGGAAAAGAUAACCGCUGAAAGCAUCUAAGCGGGAAACUUGCCUCAAGAUGAGAUCUCACUGGAACCUUGAGUUCCCUAAAGGGCCGUCGAAGACUACGACGUUGAUAGGUUGGGUGUGUAAGCGCUGUGAGGCGUUGAGCUAACCAAUACUAAUUGCCCGUGAGGCUUGACCAU
rnacentral:rRNA from 1 species